GGAGCAGUGGUAGCUCGUCGGGCUCAUAACCCGAAGGUCGCAGGUUCAAGUCCUGCCCCCGCAACCA
rnacentral:tRNA from 1 species